rnacentral:rRNA from 1 species
UACGUAGGGGGCUAGCGUUGUCCGGAAUCAUUGGGCGUAAAGCGCGUGUAGGCGGUCCGGUAAGUCCGCUGUGAAAGUCGGGGGCUCAACCCUCGGAUGCCGGUGGAUACUGUCGGGCUUGAGUACGGAAGAGGCGAGUGGAAUUCCCGGUGUAGCGGUGAAAUGCGCAGAUAUCGGGAGGAACACCGAUGGCGAAGGCAGCCCCCUGGGUUAACACUGACGCUCAGGCACGAAAGCGUGGGGAGCAAACAGG